UACGUAGGGACCGAGCGUUGUCCGGAAUCAUUGGGCGUAAAGAGCGUGUAGGCGGCUUGCUAAGUCUUGCGUGAAAUCUCGGGGCUCAACCCCGAGCGGUCGUGGGAAACUGGCAGGCUAGAGUGCGGGAGAGGAGAAUGGAAUUCCUGGUGUAGCGGUGAAAUGCGCAGAUAUCAGGAAGAACACCCGUGGCGAAGGCGGGUCUCUGGGCCGAUACUGACGCUGAGGAGCGAAAGCGUGGGGAGCGAACAGG
rnacentral:rRNA from 1 species